rnacentral:tRNA from 1 species
UGAUUCAGUGGUAGAAUUCUCGCCUUCCAUGCGGGAGACCCAGGGUUCAAUUCCCAG